rnacentral:rRNA from 1 species
CGGCGUGCUUAACACAUGCAAGUCGAAACGCGAAAGGGACUUCGGUCCUGAGUAAAGUGGCGCACGGGUGAGUAACGCGUAGAUAACCUGUCUUCAUGGUCUGGAAUAAUACGCCGAAAGGGGUACUAAUACCGGAUAUUCUUGCUUUUCAUAAGUUAUGCAAGCAAAGGUGGCCUCUGCAUAUGCUACUGCAUGAAGAGGGGUCUGCGUACCAUUAGCUAGUAGGUGGGGUAAUGGCCUACCUAGGCGACGAUGGUUAGCGGGUCUGAGAGGAUGAUCCGCCACACUGGCACUGGAACACGGGCCAGACUCCUACGGGAGGCAGCAGUGAGGAAUAUUGCGCAAUGGGGGAAACCCUGACGCAGCGACGCCGCGUGAGUGAAGGAAGGCCUUCGGGUCGUAAAGCUCUGUCAAGAGGAAAGAAGUGUACAAUGGCUAAUACCUGUUGUAUUUGACGGUACCUCUAAAGGAAGCACCGGCUAACUCCGUGCCAGCAGCUGC